CAAAACGCCGGUUUCCUUACGAUCACUGAAGUUAAGCAAUGUUGAGCCUGCUCACUAGCUAGAUGGGUGACCGCUUGCGAAUACCAGGUUCUGUAAG